AUUAAGGAAUUAUGUAUUAAUACAGGUACGGUUCGCAGGAGGGACAGUUGCCUACUCUGCCACCCCCGUAGUACCGCCUAUGGUUGCUGUUGGCGGAUGUUUUCGAAAACUUCCGUGAUCUAUGUAUGUCAACAUACAAUUUGGACGCAGCACACUAUUUCACCGCACUCGGGCUUAGUUUUGACGCUAUGGUCAAAAGUUGGCAUUGUUGUCUGAUGUUAUUGAUGUUUGAGAAUGGUCAUUGGUAUUCGUAGUAGAUUGGCGCAGGCGUGUAUGCGGCACGCGAAGGCGAACAAUGUGAAGACACCGGGUUAUGACAAGACUAAGGAGAAAUUGUGGAUUAUAUAUCAGGAUUGUAAGAAUAUAUUUAAUUUAUUUUUUAUUUUUCAAACUUUUUUAUCUUUUUUAUACUUUAUAGGUAACAACUUGUACGGGUGGCCGAUGUCAGAGUACAUGCCGUACGGUGGUUUAAAGUAUUGAAACUGAUGACAACGUUUGAUAAGAAGGAAAAUUACAUCGUUCAUUAUAGAAACCUACAGCAGGCUAUAGAGAAUGGUUUAAUAGUUGAAAAGACAGAGUUUUGGAGUUCGAUCAGUCGGAUUGGUUGUCAAAAUAUAUUAACCUGAACACGGAGAUGAGAAGGCAAAUAAUGAGUUUGAAAAAGAUUUUUUUUAAUUAAUGAAUAACGCAGUAUUUGGGAAAUCUAUGCAAUCGAAAAGGAAGGAAAUGAAGAUGGAGUUAGUGUUAUGUAAACUUGUUAAUUGUAUAUACGUCGAACCGUCCAUUGGCGUAUAUUUAUAAUAUACACUUAGUAAAAGUCCAUCUAUUGACUCCAUGGUGAAACCGCUACCUCUCCCACUGUACUAAUUUUUCUCGAUCAACAAAUUAACAUACGCCCUCUUUAUAAUCUCACUAAUGUUACUCUCUGCAAACAUUUCGACCGCUGAUGUUUUAAACGCCCGGUUCUCUGACGAGUUUACUACGUUGGGGCGAUUAUAGGUAGCCUCGAGUUUAAGAUUAAACUUAAUCGCUCCUUGUUGAACAUAUGUUUUUAAUAAUUGAUUUAGUUCAGGGUCGAGUGAGUGAAUAAAGUCUAUAUAGUUCACUAUCCCCCCUAUAUUUCUAGCAUAGUACCAAACUAUUUUACGGGUUCAGGUGGAGGGGUAAAUAUACGUCACACACGUACGCAAUCAAGGAUCAAGACUUUCAGGAUCAAGGAAUCAAGGGAUCAUACAGCAGAACAUACAUUUUCAUACUACUGAUGAUAUUAUACUAUAUGGUUUUUUGUUUAAUAUUAUAACGUGAAUUAACAAUUAAAAAUAUGAAAUUCAAUUUGAAUUCGGAUGAUGUAAGAAAAGUUAUUAAAGCACGUUGUUUACUUUUUCUUAUAUUCAAAUAGUCCUAUUUAGUGUUUACCUAAUUAAUGUCUAAUGAGUAAUGAUCUAUGAGAGUAACUUUUUUCGAUAACUUAAAAUUUAAAAAGGUGGGUAAGUGGAUGUCGCUCUGCUAUACGGUAGGUUACAAGUGGG